rnacentral:rRNA from 1 species
GACGAAUGCUGGCGGCGUGCCUAAUACAUGCAAGUUGAGCGCUGAAGGUUGGUACUUGUACCGACUGGAUGAGCAGCGAACGGGUGAGUAACGCGUGGGGAAUCUGCCUUUGAGCGGGGGACAACAUUUGGAAACGAAUGCUAAUACCGCAUAAAAACUUUAAACACAAGUUUUAAGUUUGAAAGAUGCAAUUGCAUCACUCAAAGAUGAUCCCGCGUUGUAUUAGCUAGUUGGUGAGGUAAAGGCUCACCAAGGCGAUGAUACAUAGCCGACCUGAGAGGGUGAACGGCCACAUUGGGACUGGGACACGGCCCAAACUCCUACGGGAGGCAGCAGUAGGGAAUCUUCGGCAAUGGACGAAAGUCUGACCGAGCAACGCCGCGUGAGUGAAGAAGGUUUUCGGAUCGUAAAACUCUGUUGGUAGAGAAGAACGUUGGUGAGAGUGGAAAGCUCAUCAAGUGACGGUAACUACCCAGAAAGGGACGGCUAACUACGUG